rnacentral:rRNA from 1 species
UACGUAGGGUGCAAGCGUUAAUCGGAAUUACUGGGCGUAAGCGUGCGCAGGCGGUUUUGUAAGUUUGUCGUGAAAGCCCCGGGCUCAACCUGGGAAUUGCGAUGAAGACUGCAAGGCUUGAAUCUGGCAGAGGGGGGUAGAAUUCCACGUGUAGCAGUGAAAUGCGUAGAGAUGUGGAGGAACACCGAUGGCGAAGGCAGCCCCCUGGGUCAAGAUUGACGCUCAUGCACGAAAGCGUGGGGGAGCAAACAGG